rnacentral:rRNA from 1 species
CCUAGUAACUGCGAGUGAAGCGGGAAAAGCUCAAAUUUAAAAUCUGGCGCAAGCCCGAGUUGUAACCUAGAGAAGUGUUUUCGGCCGUUGUACUUGGACAAGUCCCUUGGAACAGGGCGUCAUAGAGGGUGAGAAUCCCGUGCUUGCCAAGCUCACAAUGUCUAUGCGAUACGCUUUCGAAGAGUCGAGUUGUUUGGGAAUGCAGCUCAAAUUGGGUGGUAAAUUCCAUCUAAAGCUAAAUAUUGGCGAGAGACCGAUAGCGAACAAGUACCGUGAGGGAAAGAUGAAAAGAACUUUGGACAGAGAGUUAAACAGUACGUGAAAUUGCUGAAAGGGAAGCGCUUGAAGUCAGUCGCGUCGGCAGGGACUCAGCCUUAACCGGUGCAUUUCCUUGUCGACGGGCCAACAUCGAUUUCGACCGUGGGAGAAGGGCUUGAGGAAAGUGGCAGCUUCGGUUGUGUUAUAGCCUCCUGUCGUAUGCCACGGUCGGGAUCGAGGACCGCGGCUCUUGCCUAGGAUGUUGGCGUAAUGGCUUUAAGCGACCCGUCUUGAAACACGGACCAAGGAGUCUAACAUGUCUGCGAGUGUUCGGGUGUCAAACCCGUGCGCGCAAUGAAAGUAAACGUAGGUGGGAGGCCUCGGCCGCACCAUCGACCGAUCCGGAUCUUUUGGGAUGGAUUUGAGUAAGAGCAUAUAUGUUGGGACCCGAAAGAUGGUGAACUAUGCCUGAAUAGGGCGAAGCCAGAGGAAACUCUGGUGGAGGCUCGUAGCGAUUCUGACGUGCAAAUCGAUCGUCAAAUUUGGGUAUAGGGGC